AACCAAGCUGUGAAUUCCUCACCAUGGCCAAACUUUUGAUGCUCCUUGUAUUUCUUGCUCACCUUUUGGGUAGGUCAUUUUUUAAAAAAUGCCUAAUUGGAAAUCCUUCCCUGUUUCCCUUUUCUCAGUGUGACUAACUGACAGCCUUCUCUUAAUGAUCUUCCAAUUCCACCUAAUUUUUCUGACUGUUUUUUUUGUUCCAGGCUGUGAUGCGGAGUUUACAAUGACUCAGCCACCUUCUUUGUCAGCCUCCAUCGGAGAUACAGUCAAAAUCUCCUGUAGGAGAAGCACUGAGAGUGUAGAGGAUUAUUUCAACUCCUGGUACCAGCAGAAGCCCAGCAGUGCUCCAAAACUGUUAAUAUAUGGUGAUGAGCAUAGGGAGUCAGGGAUCCCAGAUAGAUUCUCAGGCUCCCUUGACAGCUCUGCUAACUCUGCCAUCUUAACCAUCUCCAGCCUUCAAGCAGAAGAUGAGGCUGAUUAUUACUGUCUGUCUUAUGACAGCAGCGAGCAGCAC